rnacentral:lncRNA from 1 species
CCAAUAAGAGGCUUGCUCAAGUGUGAUGGGAUUCAAUCAAUAUUUUGAUUUCCUGAACCAACAUCCCUCCACAUAAAAAAUAAAUAAAUAAAAGCAAGAGACCAGCCGCAUCAGGGACCGCUGCAAAGCAAGUGGAAGAGGGAGGCGGAGAGAACGCUGGAGCCAGCAUCACGGGCCGGGAGAAGUUGAGGAAUCGCGACAGCGGCCAAUGUGAGCUCAGGGAAAGUUGCCGCUCCCUGGAGGAGCUGCGUCUGCUUCUCUGCCAGCUGCCUUAGCCCCACAUCUCUGCUUCUGAGACCUCUGGCUGGCUUUCUUACCCUUUUUCUCCCAUCCCUAUCCCCACCCCCUCCUUCUUCCUUUUUUUUUUUUUUCAAAAAACUUGGCUACGGAACAUUAGGUUUGAUGAAGGGAAAGCGAUUUAACAUCUUUUAACUGAGAGGUUGAUUUUCAUUUGAGACCAAAUGGCUCAUUUUUACCUUUUUCGCUCCUGGAAGAGUAAAAAGUGAGAGGUCAGUCUUGUGUCACCAUGGCAACCCACACAGCUCGGGCCAGGAGCAGAUGAAGGCAGGUGAUAAUGGCAGGGAAGUUUCUCCCCCUGACUUGGCUCCCCCACCCCCAUUCGAGGAUGUGCCUGGAUGUAUGAAAACAAUGAUGUCUUUUUAAAAGGGUAAGUAUUCAAAUAUUGCUUCUAAAUGGUCUGGCCCAGAGCACUGACC